UACGGAGGGUGCAAGCGUUGUUCGGAAUUACUGGGCGUAAAGGGCGCGUAGGCGGCCCGCUAAGUCGAACGUGAAAUCCCCAGGCUCAACUUGGGAACUGCGUCUGAUACUGGUUGGCUUGAAUUCGGGAGAGGGAUGCAGAAUUCCAGGUGUAGCGGUGAAAUGCGUAGAUAUCGGGAGGAACACCAGUGGCGAAGGCGACUACCUGGCCUGUUCUUGACGCUGAGGCGCGAAAGCUAGGGGAGCAACGGGG
rnacentral:rRNA from 1 species